rnacentral:rRNA from 1 species
GAUGAACGCUGGCGGCGUGCCUAAUACAUGCAAGUCGAGCGAACAGAUAAGGAGCUUGCUCCUUUGACGUUAGCGGCGGACGGGUGAGUAACACGUGGGUAACCUACCUAUAAGACUGGGAUAACUUCGGGAAACCGGAGCUAAUACCGGAUAACAUUUGGAACCGCAUGGUUCUAAAGUGAAAGAUGGUUUUGCUAUCACUUAUAGAUGGACCCGCGCCGUAUUAGCUAGUUGGUAAGGUAACGGCUUACCAAGGCGACGAUACGUAGCCGACCUGAGAGGGUGAUCGGCCACACUGGAACUGAGACACGGUCCAGACUCCUACGGGAGGCAGCAGUAGGGAAUCUUCCGCAAUAGGCGAAAGCCUGACGGAGCAACGCCGCGUGAGUGAUGAAGGGUUUCGGCUCGUAAAACUCUGUUAGUAGGGAAGAACAAAUGUGUAAGUAACUGUGCACGUCUUGACGGUACCUAAUCAGAAAGCCACGGCUAACUACGUG